CCCGCUUCUUUAAAAGAAUUCCAGCCCAAAGGCUACCCGGCCCACGCGAACAAACCCAACCCGGACGCUGACCCGAGUCCGACUGAUAACCUGGUUUGAUCGACUAAACCCUAGGGUGCCGAGUCACGCGUCCGACCUGGCCAACCCGAUUCGACUCCCCUUUCUGCCGCGGCUUGUCCGCAGGGAAGGAGACGGCGGUGGAUGAUGGACACUAGCCGGUGUGACCGUGCGCGGCUAACCAGCUGCGGCUGGCGGGCGUGACGGCGAGGUGGUGGUAGAUCGUCGAGAUGGUGAGCAGUUAGCUUGUCCGAUCCGAGCCGAGACGUAGGGACGGCUGCUAGGGUUUCACUGGAGACGACACGGCAAGCGGUGGCUGUUACCUGCAGCGUUGGCACGGCAUGGCGGUGUGGGCAGCGGCGACGGACGGACGGCGGCGGCGCUAGGUUUGGCGAGGCGACAGCGGCCCAGCGCGGUGGAUCUCGCGAUGGGGGCUCCGAGUCGCGCCGGUUUUUUUUU
rnacentral:lncRNA from 1 species